AGGUACCUAAUACCUAUAGGUACUAAAAUUUGAACAGUACAGAAAAGAUUAGCAUAGUCCUUGCGCAAGGAUGACACACAAAACCGUGAAGCGUUCCACAUUUUU